GGCUGAAGAAGAGGACACUAUGAACAAGUCUGAGAGGCAAGAAGAAAGCCAAGAGAGUGGAGUCAUGGAAUCCACGGGAGGAGAAGAUAUCCAAGAUCUAACAUGGUAGAGUUCACAAUAUCUGAGCAAAUGGCACUUUGGGAAGAAGAUGCAGAAGAACCCCUGUUUCCACUUUCCUGGAGAGGCUGGAAUCCUCAAGUAGGGUCACAUCUCCAUGUUCUGUGAUCAUAGGCUCAUAGACCUAAAAUGGAAUAUGUAGGCUGAACUGGUGGGGUGGUGGCAGGUGAGUGGCAGUGGGACAGGGAGGUAGGCGGAGAAGGAGGGACACAGAGCUCCAUUUAGUCCGAGGCAGGAUCAGAUCUUCCACUGUCACGGGAAACCCUUCACACUAGUGGGGGCAUGAGGAGAGCUCCUAUGGGUCCUAUACGAUGACUGCAAUAUUUGAGAUGCACUGGGUCAGACCGUGGGAGCUGGAAUUCCUGGAUUGUUCCUAUAAUCCCCUAGGGAAGUAGAAUUCUUUAUUACCAAAGAUUCCUGGAAGAUUUACCUGGUCAGAGCUUUGAUGCUGCUCCUAUUAAAUUUGUGCUUCCUAGCUAGCUUUACAAUAAGCAUAAAACAAUCAUAAUGUCUGACAACUGUCAAAUGCUUUUUUGUUCACAGAGCUCUGUGAGGACCCAGGGUCUUCCCCAGGGGACCCUUGAUAUUUUUUUAUGACACACAUUCCUAGUAUACAAUAAUAGAACCCUAGAGUUUAGCCAUAGUAUAGUCUGUUGGAAACUCUUCACUUCUCACAUAAAGUAAGUCAGGCCAAGAAGGUUGACUGAUUUUUCGGGUAUCACUAAACUGACGAUCAGGAAAAGAACACCUGUGGAAUUCCCCAGCCCCACUGCUAAUCCUGUCAGCUUUGCCUCAGAGGGCAUUUCUCAUCUUUAAAUUCUCCAGCUCUGGUAUUGGAAGUGCAUUUGGGGUUGGAUGACUUUGCAUUGUUUCCAACCCAACCCAACCUAAAUGCGUAGCAACUAUCUAGAGCUGACCAUUGUUUAAAGCAAAGACUUAGCGCUCUCCUGCUGCCGAGAAUGAAGGAUGGUAACCUGGUCUGGUCUUCAAGAUAAUGAAGAAAACUUGCGGUAUAACCAACCACUGGAGAAUGGAAAUCGUUUCCUUGCUACUGACUCGCUGUUGACCUUGAGCUAGUUAUUUAAUCUCUUAUCUGUAAGGGGGAACA
rnacentral:lncRNA from 1 species